AAUCAACGCUGGCGGCGUGCCUCAGACAUGCAAGUCGAACGCGAAAGGCUCCUUCGGGGGCCGAGUAGAGUGGCGCACGGGUGAGUAACACGUGGAUAAUUUGCCUUCGGGUGGGGAAUAACAACCGGAAACGGUUGCUAAUACCGCAUAAUGCAGCGGCAUCUAUGAUGACAGUUGUUAAAGCGGGGGAUCGUAAGACCUCGCGCCUGAAGAGAAGUCCGCGGCAGAUUAGCUAGUUGGUAGGGUAAUGGCCUACCAAGGCGACGAUCUGUAGCCGGCCUGAGAGGGCGGUCGGCCACACUGACACUGACAUACGGGUCAGACUCCUACGGGAGGCAGCAGUCGGGAAUUUUGGGCAAUGGGCGAAAGCCUGACCCAGCAACGCCGCGUGAAGGAUGUAAGUUUUUCGG
rnacentral:rRNA from 1 species